CGGCCCGGUGGGGCGCCGGCGUCGGCCCGCGGCGGCUGCUGCUCGCCCAGGUGCCGUUCUGGUCGUUCGGCGUCGGC
rnacentral:tRNA from 1 species